CUGUGGGAGAAUAGUAAGCAUUGGACACAAAAUGUAACUCCAGGUUGAAGAACUUCUACUUAUAGGCAUCUAUUCAACGAAGACGAAUCCUGGAAUGGGGAUGGAAAUGAUGGCUCAUGUCUUAGCAAACUACCAAACUGAUCCGAGAGGACAGGGAAGUCAGUGUGGGCGGCUCUAAGGAGCCUCCCUCUCUACAGCUGCGGCUCAGAGGAUUACGGCGCUUCAUCCACAAGGCAACAUUGCACAAGUAGCUUUUGAACAAAAGUCAUGGAUACUAUUAAUGAUAUGUUCCCACACACAUUUAGUGUCGUCUCAAAAUUCACGCUGUCAACUGUCUCUAGGAAUCAUUUCCAUCUGAGAACAGACCACACAAAGACACAGUGAAACUCAGUUUCUGCAGAAUUUGAUUUCAUUUGAGUUACUGGGGAACAAAGCAAUUAGACAAUGAAUAAUAGCUCAAGACAGGCUGAAGCUGAAGAUUUCUGCAAAAGAAUGAAGAGGAAACGUUUUGAUCCUGAGCAGAUGUUCUCCCUAGAUUGCUUCACCUGAGGUUGAUUGACUUUUGGAAACGAGAUUUGUUCCCAGUGCUUUGUGAGUCUCUUGUUGGAAGGACUGUCUUUAAAUUAAAGCAAUUAGAGUUACUUUAUAAGAUUUACCCAAAUAUAAGAGCUGAAGAGAAUAAUUCAAAUUGAUCAGAAGAAAAUACUCAAUUACUGACAAAUGUCAAUUACAUCAAUAGCCUAGGCUGCUCUUGAACUCCUGGGCUCAAACGAUCCUCC
rnacentral:lncRNA from 1 species